UGAACGCUGGCGGCGUGCCUAAUACAUGCAAGUCGAGCGAACGGACGCGAAGCUUGCUUCUCUGAUGUUAGCGGCGGACGGGUGAGUAACACGUGGAUAACCUACCUAUAAGACUGGGAUAACUUCGGGAAACCGGAGCUAAUACCGGAUAAUAUUUUGAACCGCAUGGUUCAAAAGUAAAAGACGGUCUUGCUGUCACUUAUAGAUGGAUCCGCGCUGCAUUAGCUAGUUGGUAAGGUAACGGCUUACCAAGGCAACGAUGCAUAGCCGACCUGAGAGGGUGAUCGGCCACACUGGAACUGAGACACGGUCCAGACUCCUACGGGAGGCAGCAGUAGGGAAUCUUCCGCAAUGGGCGAAAGCCUGACGGAGCAACGCCGCGUGAGUGAUGAAGGUCUUCGGAUCGUAAAACUCUGUUAUUAGGGAAGAACAUAUGUGUAAGUAACUGUGCACAUCUUGACGGUACCUAAUCAGAAAGCCACGGCUAACUACGUG
rnacentral:rRNA from 1 species